GCUGCACUCCAGGUGAGCAGCACCUUUACGUCAUGCCUCUCUACAACGUGAUCGCUGUGGCGACCCUGCUGACCGCGCUGACCCCAGGUAGGAAGCCUCGCCGCACACACAUGACCAAUCACGUCACAGCUAAGACAUUAAAUACAAAAGAAUGAAGCAACUCUCAGAAUAUGACGAUUAAUUCGGGACUGAAGUGGGAAGCCAUUGUUCUUCUUCCCUUUUUGAAACCGUUGGUUUAUUCGAGUUUCACUUGUUUUAUUACGAAUAGUUUCUUUAUGAUUUGAUUUGUUGCACGCAGUAGUACAUCGUAGUAACUGUAGUAAUAAUACAGGCAGCAGUACUAGUAGUACACCGUAGUGACUGUAGUAAUAAUACAGGCAGCAGUACUAGUAGUACACCGUAUACACUGUAGUAACAAUACAGGCAGCAGUACUAGUAGUACACUGUAGUAACUGUAGUAAUAAUACCGGCAGCAGUACUAGUAGUACACCGUAUACACUGUAGUAACAAUACAGGCAGCAGUACUAGUAGUACACUGUAGUAACUGUAGUAAUAAUACCGGCAGCAGUACUAGUAGUACACCGUAGUAACUGUAGUAAUAAUACCGGCAGCAGUACUAGUAGUACACCGUAGUAAUAAUACCGGGCCGAGAGAGAGAGAGAGAUUUUUUUUUGAUUUUUAGAAAAUCUUUAUUUUACAUAAAAAACAAUUAGUCAUUACAGUCAUUAGUCACUAUGGCAGUGGCCCGUCUUCCCGCUCAGGAUCCUCCUCCGCCGGUCGGACGCUUCACUCAGCCACAUUUCCUCCUUCCCUGGUGAUCUUGAGGUUGAUCUUCCGUAGUCGGAGGACCUCCUGCUGGGUGUAGUCUGCCCCACCCGUUUCGUGCAGCUGUGUCGAACGGAGCGAGCGAACUUCUCCAAGUCGGAGAAGUAGUCCUCCAGCUCCACUCCUCUCUGGUUCUUGGUGGUCUGCAGGAACGCUUUCAUCCGCCCCACCCCGUGCCUGCUGGUGACCGUCCCCCCUGAGGAGACGCUGUCUUCAGAGGCCCACCCUGAAGAGGACCCUGACUCCACACCUCCCACCUUUCCUCU
ensembl:lncRNA